rnacentral:rRNA from 1 species
AGAGUUUGAUCCUGGCUCAGAAUCAACGCUGGCGGCGCGCCUAACACAUGCAAGUCGAACGAGAAAGCCGCAAGGUGAGUAAAGUGGCGUACGGGUGAGUAACACGUGGAUCAUCUACCCUCUAGUGGGGAAUACCGUUGGGAAACCGACGACAAUACCGCAUAAGCUCGAGAGAGGAAAGCAGCAAUGCGCUGGAGGAGGAGUCCGCGGUCGAUUAGUUAGUUGGCAGGGUAAAAGCCUACCAAGACUGUGAUCGAUAGCCGGCCUGAGAGGGCACACGGCCACACUGGCACUGAAACACGGGCCAGACUCCUACGGGAGGCAGCAGUGGGGAAUCUUGCACAAUGGAGGAAACUCUGAUGCAGCGACGCCGCGUGAGCGAUGAAGCCCUUCGGGGUGUAAAGCUCUUUCGGCAGGGAAGAUAAUGACGGUACCUGCAGAAGCAGCUGCGGCUAACUACGUGCCAGCAGCCGCGGUAAUACGUAGGCAGCAAGCGUUGUUCGGAGUUACUGGGCGUAAAGGGUGCGUAGGCGGCUUUUUAAGUUUGGUGUGAAAUCUCCCGGCUCAACUGGGAGGGUGCGCCGAAUACUGAGAGGCUAGAGUGCGGGAGAGGAAAGUGGAAUUCCUGGUGUAGCGGUGAAAUGCGUAGAUAUCAGGAGGAACACCGGUGGUGUAAACGGCUUUCUGGACCGUAACUGACGCUGAUGCACGAAAGCGUGGGUAGCAAACAGGAUUAGAUACCCUAGUAGUCC